UACGUAGGGAGCGAGCGUUGUCCGGAUUCAUUGGGCGUAAAGAGCUCGUAGGCGGCUUGAUAAGUCGGAUGUGAAACCUCCAGGCUCAACCUGGAGUCGCCAUCCGAUACUGUCAUGGCUAGAGUCCGGUAGGGGCCCACGGAAUUCCUGGUGUAGCGGUGAAAUGCGCAGAUAUCAGGAGGAAUACCGAUGGCGAAGGCAGGUCUCUGGGCUGAUACUGACGCUCAUGCACGAAAGCGUGGGGAGCGAUCCGG
rnacentral:rRNA from 1 species